rnacentral:rRNA from 1 species
AGGACGAACGCUGGCGGCGUGCUUAACACAUGCAAGUCGAGCGGUAAGGCCUUUCGGGGUACACGAGCGGCGAACGGGUGAGUAACACGUGGGUGAUCUGCCCUGCACUUCGGGAUAAGCCUGGGAAACUGGGUCUAAUACCGGAUAUGACCUCCUAUCGCAUGGUGGGUGGUGGAAAGAUUUAUCGGUGCAGGAUGGGCCCGCGGCCUAUCAGCUUGUUGGUGGGGUAAUGGCCUACCAAGGCGACGACGGGUAGCCGACCUGAGAGGGUGACCGGCCACACUGGGACUGAGACACGGCCCAGACUCCUACGGGAGGCAGCAGUGGGGAAUAGUUGCACAAUGGGCGAAAGCCUGAUGCAGCGACGCCGCGUGAGGAUGACGGCCUUCGGGUUACGUAAACCUCUUUCAGCGAGGACGAAGCG